rnacentral:rRNA from 1 species
UACGAAGGGGGCGAGCGUUGUUCGGAUUUACUGGGCGUAAAGGGCGCGCAGGCGGCUAUCCAAGUCAGGCGUGAAAGCCCCGGGCUUAACCUGGGAGGUGCGUCUGGGACUGGGUGGCUAGAGUUCGGGAGAGGAGAGUGGAAUUCCCAGUGUAGAGGUGAAAUUCGUAGAUAUCAGGAGGAACACCGAUGGCGAAGGCAGGUCUCUGGGCAUUAACUGACGCUGAGGAGCGAAAGCAUGGGGAGCGAACAGG